UACGAAGGGGGCUAGCGUUGCUCGGAAUUACUGGGCGUAAAGGGCGCGUAGGCGGACAGUUUAGUCAGAGGUGAAAGCCCAGGGCUCAACCUUGGAACUGCCUUUGAUACUGACUGUCUUGAGUACGGGAGAGGUGUGUGGAACUCCGAGUGUAGAGGUGAAAUUCGUAGAUAUUCGGAAGAACACCAGUGGCGAAGGCGACACACUGGCCCGUUACUGACGCUGAGGCGCGAAAGCGUGGGGAGCAAACAGG
rnacentral:rRNA from 1 species